UACGUAGGGUGCGAGCGUUGCCCGGAUUUAUUGGGCGUAAAGGGCGCGUAGGCGGCUCUGCACGUCCGUUGUGAAAUCGCCCGGCUCAACUGGGCGGGGUCAGCGGAUACGGCGGAGCUUGAGCAAGCUAGGGGGCAAGUGGAAUUCCCGGUGUAGUGGUGGAAUGCGUAGAUAUCGGGAGGAACACCAGUGGCGAAGGCGGCUCACUGGACCAUAACUGACGCUGAUGCACGAAAGCUAGGGGAGCAAACAGG
rnacentral:rRNA from 1 species